rnacentral:rRNA from 1 species
GACGAACGCUGGCGGCGUGCUUAACACAUGCAAGUCGAACGGAAAGGCCCUGCUUGCAGGGUGCUCGAGUGGCGAACGGGUGAGUAACACGUGGGUGAUCUGCCCCUUACUUUGGGAUAAGCCUGGGAAACUGGGUCUAAUACUGGAUAGGACCAUGCUGUAGGCGGUGUGGUGGAAAGAUUAGUUUCGGUAAGGGAUGAGCUCGCGGCCUAUCAGCUUGUUGGUGGGGUAAUGGCCUACCAAGGCGUCGACGGGUAGCCGGCCUGAGAGGGUGGACGGCCACAUUGGGACUGAGAUACGGCCCAGACUCCUACGGGAGGCAGCAGUGGGGAAUAUUGCACAAUGGGCGCAAGCCUGAUGCAGCGACGCCGCGUGGGGGAUGACGGCCUUCGGGUUGUAAACUCCUUUCAGCCAUGACGAAGCCCUUGUGGUGACGGUAGUGGUAGAAGAAGCACCGGCUAACUACGUG